GGUCACAGAAUGCAGGCCUUGGCCAGUGGAUGACAUUGCUGGACCUGCCCUGAGUCUUGAAGAGUGAGCCUCAGACCAGGCAACAUUCACCACAAGCUGACU